ACUAAUAUGGCAGAAAAGUGCAAUGAAUUUAAGAUUCAUAUAUAAAGAUUAAAUCUUUUUUUAGUA
rnacentral:tRNA from 2 species